rnacentral:rRNA from 1 species
GGGGGGAGCAAGCGUUGUUCGGAUUUACUGGGCGUAAAGGGCGCGUAGGCGGCGCAACAAGUCACUUGUGAAAUCUCCGGGCUUAACCCGGAGCGGCCAAGUGAUACUGUCGUGCUAGAGUGCGGAAGGGGCUACUGGAAUUCUCGGUGUAGCGGUGAAAUGCGUAGAUAUCGAGAGGAACACCUGCGGCGAAGGCGGGUAGCUGGGCCGACACUGACGCUGAUGCGCGAAAGCCAGGGGAGCGAACGGGAUUAGAUACCCCGGUAGUCCUGGCCUUAAACGAUGGAUACUUGGUGUCCGGGGCUACAUAGUCCCCGGGUGCCGGCGCUAACGCAUUAAGUAUCCCGCCUGGGGAGUACGGUCGCAAGACUG